UAGUCCACGCCGUAAACGAUGGAUACUAGCUGUCCGAGGCCUUGAGUCUUGGGCGGCCAAGCGAAAGUGAUAAGUAUCCCACCUGGGGAGUACGUUCGCAAGAAUGAAACUCAAAGGAAUUGACGGGGGCCCGCACAAGCGGUGGAGCAUGUGGUUUAAUUCGAUGAUACGCGAGGAACCUUACCAGGGCUUAAAUGCAUAUUGACAGGGCCAGAGAUGGCUUUUCCUUCGGGCAAUUUGCAAGGUGCUGCAUGGUUGUCGUCAGCUCGUGCCGUGAGGUGUCAGGUUAAGUCCCGCAACGAGCGCAACCCUUGUCUUUAGUUGCCAUCAUUAAGUUGGGCACUUUAAAGAGACUGCCGGUGACAAACCGGAGGAAGGUAAGGAUGACGUCAGGUCAGCAUGCCCCUUAUGCUCUGGGCUACACACGUGCUACAAUGGCCGUGACAAAGAGUUGCUACUUUGUGAAAACAAGCUAAUCUCAUAAACGCGGCCUCAGUUCGGAUUG
rnacentral:rRNA from 1 species